rnacentral:rRNA from 1 species
UGCAAGUCGAGCGGAAACGAUGGAGCUUGCUCCAGGCGUCGAGCGGCGGACGGGUGAGUAAUGCAUAGGAAUCUGCCCGGUAGUGGGGGAUAACCUGGGGAAACCCAGGCUAAUACCGCAUACGUCCUACGGGAGAAAGCAGGGGAUCUUCGGACCUUGCGCUAUCGGAUGAGCCUAUGUCGGAUUAGCUUGUUGGUGAGGUAAUGGCUCACCAAGGCGACGAUCCGUAGCUGGUCUGAGAGGAUGAUCAGCCACAUCGGGACUGAGACACGGCCCGAACUCCUACGGGAGGCAGCAGUGGGGAAUAUUGGACAAUGGGCGAAAGCCUGAUCCAGCCAUGCCGCGUGUGUGAAGAAGGCUUUCGGGUUGUAAAGCACUUUCAGUGAGGAAGAAGGCCUUGGGGCUAAUACCCCCGAGGAAGGACAUCACUCACAGAAGAAGCACCGGCUAACUCCGUGCCAGCAGCCGCGGUAAUACGGAGGGUGCGAGCGUUAAUCGGAAUUACUGGGCGUAAAGCGCGCGUAGGCGGCGUGAUAAGCCGGUUGUGAAAGCCCCGGGCUCAACCUGGGAACGGCAUCCGGAACUGUCAGGCUAGAGUGCAGGAGAGGAAGGUAGAAUUCCCGGUGUAGCGGUGAAAUGCGUAGAGAUCGGGAGGAAUACCAGUGGCGAAGGCGGCCUUCUGGACUGACACUGACGCUGAGGUGCGAAAGCGUGGGUAGCAAACAGGAUUAGAUACCCUGGUAGUCCACGCCGUAAACGAUGUCGACUAGCCNUUGGGGUCCUUGAGACCUUUGUGGCGCAGUUAACGCGAUAAGUCGACCGCCUGGGGAGUACGGCCGCAAGGUUAAAACUCAAAUGAAUUGACGGGGGCCCGCACAAGCGGUGGAGCAUGUGGUUUAAUUCGAUGCAACGCGAAGAACCUUACCUACCCUUGACAUCGUGCGAACUUUCCAGAGAUGGAUUGGUGCCUUCGGGAGCGCACAGACAGUGCUGCAUGGCUGUCGUCACCUCGUGUUGUGAAAUGUUGGGUUAAGUCCCGUACCGAGCGCAACCCUUGUCCCUAUUUGCCAGCGAUUCGGUCGGGAACUCUAGG